UACGUAGGGGGCAAGCGUUGUCCGGAAUCAUUGGGCGUAAAGAGCGUGUAGGCGGCCAGGUAGGUCCGCUGUGAAACUCGAGGCUCAACCUCGAGAUGUCGGCGGAAACCAUCUGGCUAGAGUCCGGAAGAGGAAAGUGGAAUUCCCGGUGUAGCGGUGAAAUGCGCAGAUAUCGGGAAGAACACCCGUGGCGAAGGCGGCUUCUGGGCCGUAACUGACGCUGAGGAGCGAAGCGUGGGAGCGAACAGG
rnacentral:rRNA from 1 species